UUAAUUCCAAUUAACUUUGUUCUUUCUGUUUCUCUUGGCCUCUUUAUCUCUUUUCCUCCACUUUUUCAUCUCCAUAAGAAACCAAAAUCUAGAAGAAGGAUUUCCGUUUUGUGGCGAGUUUAACAUGGUGCUCUAUAUCUCAAUUUUGGGUGUUGCUAUUCGUGAUAAGAGAUAGAAUUUAUCCAGGAGUUGUAAGUUACAGGAAGCUUGCGACAGCGAAGCUAGUGAUGCAAAGUUGGUAUUUACUUUGUUAUCUUUAUAUAUAUAUAUAUAUAUAUGUCAUGGCAUAGUAAUAGGUGGGAUUGGGAAUAUUUUGAAACAGUGUUCAGUUUAUAUAUUAUGAGUAUGUUUAUCUGUUCGGAACAUUCUCUGUCAAAUUUUAUUGCAUCAAGAAGUCGAAUUUUAUAUAUUUCUACUUCUCCGAUUACUACUUGAAGAAAAUUGCUAAAUUUGAACUAAUGAAAGACCUUAUACCAUGGUACUUCGCUUUUGCUGUGUAAGACUUAUGUACAAGGAAAUACAUAUUUUUCUCCAUCAUUUAGUA